rnacentral:rRNA from 1 species
GAUGAACGCUGGCGGCGUGCCUAAUACAUGCAAGUCGAGCGAACGGACGAGAAGCUUGCCUCUCUGAUGUUAGCGGCGGAUGGGUGAGUAACACGUGGAUAACCUACCUAUAAGACUGGGAUAACUUCGGGAAACCGUAGCUAAUACCGGAUAAUAUUUUGAACCGCAUGGUUCAAAAGUGAAAGACGGUCUUGCUGUCACUUAUAGAUGGAUCCGCGCUGCAUUAGCUAGUUGGUAAGGUAACGGCUUACCAAGGCAACGAUGCAUAGCCGACCUGAGAGGGGGAGCGGCCACACUGGAGCUGAGACACGGUCCAGACUCCUACGGGAGGCAGCAGUAGGGAAUCUUCCGCAAUGGGCGAAAGCCUGACGGAGCAACGCCGCGUGAGUGAUGAAGGUCUCGGAUCGUAAAACUCUGUUAUUAGGGAAGAACAUAUGUGUAAGUAACUGUGCACAUCUUGACGGUACCUAAUCAGAAAGCCACGGCUAACUACGUG